rnacentral:rRNA from 1 species
UACGGAGGGUGCAAGCGUUAAUCGGAAUUACUGGGCGUAAAGCGCGCGUAGGCGGCUUUGCAAGUCGGGUGUGAAAUCCCCAGGCUUAACCUGGGAACUGCAUUCGAGACUGCAUUGCUAGAGUAUGGGAGAGGGAAGUGGAAUUUCCGGUGUAGCGGUGAAAUGCGUAGAUAUCGGAAGGAACAUCAGUGGCGAAAGCGACUUCCUGGACCAAUACUGACGCUCAUGUGCGAAAGCGUGGGGAGCAAACAGG